UUUUUGUUAGUCUGAAAACGCGAAAUGACGAUAUAUGACGCAUUUUCUAGACUCAAGCAACGCAAAAAACCGCUCAAGCACGAAAAUUGUGUGGUUACUAUAGGUCGAUUUUGACGCGUUUCGAAGUUUACAAACGCAAUUCCGCACGGAAGCAAUCGUAACCGCGACUGAAAACGAGGCUAUUUAGAGACAGCGUGACAGCAAAACAAACGAUUUCUAAACAUGUGAAAAUGUUGACAAUUAAGUCGAACCGACUCUAAUGCAGUUCUCCGAUGUUUGUGGGCCAAAACAUUUGAAGAAAGCGAUGACCAUUGUUUAAUGAACGAUUCUAUGGUGCUAUAAACUCAGCAGAGGAGCAGUUUUGUACGACAAUGAAACGAUUGAAGUGAGUGUUGGUACCUCGAAGGAGGCACAGGAUAGCUAUCCUAGAUACUGAAACCUUAAAAACAGCGACAAGAAUAGGAAUACCAAAUAUGGAUAGUGUUUUUUUAUUAAUAUGACGUGAAUGUUUGCAAUAUAGGAAUGACGAGAAUCAAGAAUACAUUAUUUUUUUAUCGAACAAAUAAGUGUACAAUGAAAAUAGCAGAUUAUUAUUAAUUAUAAUGUAAACAAUUAUUGGCUAAAUACUGGCAUUAAUCUUUCUAAAUCUGUAGGUACUGAUUGUAUCUUAUGAUCCAAUGAUUAACUUAAAUAAUAUACUUGUCUUGUGAUGUGAUAUCUUGCCUAAAACCAAAAAUGCCUGAAAACAGAAAACACAAGCAAAUCAGAUUAACAGUUACUAUACAAUAUAUAGGGUAUUUUUGAUAUUUUUUUAUUGAUUUUUUUUUCAAUAAAAAAAAUUAAU